CAAUAGCGUAUAUUUAAGUUGUUGCAGUUAAAAGGCUCGUAGUUGGAUUUCGGUUAAGAGCGACCGGUCCGCCGUUUGGUGUGCACUGGUUGGUUUUAACUUCCUGUAGAGGACGUGCUCUGGGUUUAACGACCUGGACUCGGAGUCUACGUGGUUACUUUGAAAAAAUUAGAGUGUUCAAAGCGGGCUUACGCUUGAAUAUUUCAGCAUGGAAUAACACUAUAGGACUCCUGUCCUAUUUCGUUGGUCUCGGGACGGGAGUAAUGAUUAAGAGGAACAGUUGGGGGCAUUCGUAUUUCAUUGUCAGAGGUGAAAUUCUUGGAUUUAUGAAAGACGAACUUCUGCGAAAGCAUUUGCCAAGGAUGUUUUCAUUA
rnacentral:rRNA from 1 species